CGAUUCGUUUUGUAGAUUUCGUUUCAAAUUAAAUGUAAAGCAAAGCAAAUUAAUUGAUUAAAGCAAAUUCGAUUUGGAGAUAAUUUGGUUGAUACCUAUAAAAUAAGCCAUUUGAAAAUAAAGAAAGUGAGUUGAACUUGUUUAAGCUACCAAAAUGAAUCACCUUAAAAUUAUAGUUUACUCUGCACUGGCUCUGUUGACUCUGUUUGGUGGUGCCUUUGCUGUUAUUGGUAAUGACUGCAAAAAGGUUGGAGGCUGCUGGGACAAAGUUAUUCGACAUAAAUGAAAUGAAUUCACAUUUAACGGAUAAAUUUAUUUUACAAAAUAUAAAUUAGAAAUGAUAACCUUUAACAUUUAAGAUGUAAAGUGAAUAUAAUACAACAUUAUGGUGGAAAAA